AUAAAUGGCAAAAGCUCGCAAGAGCCUAGCUUUAUUAUCCACAAACACCUGUGAACCUAUUUGCCCUCCUUCACCGGAGGGUACACCUUACAAACAUAACUGUAACGAAUGUAACCUAUUAUAAUAUAAUA
rnacentral:misc_RNA from 1 species